rnacentral:rRNA from 1 species
AUUGAACGCUGGCGGCAGGCUUAACACAUGCAAGUCGAGCGGAGAUGAGGUGCUUGCACCUUACCUUAGCGGCGGACGGGUGAGUAAUGCUUAGGAAUCUGCCAUUUAGUGGGGGACAACAUUCCGAAAGGAAUGCUAAUACCGCAUACGUCCUACGGGAGAAAGCAGGGGAUCUUCGGACCUUGCGCUAAAUGAUGAGCCUAAGUCGGAUUAGCUGGUUGGUGGGGUAAAGGCCUACCAAGGCGACGAUCUGUAGCGGGUCUGAGCGGAUGAUCCGCCACACUGGGACUGAGACACGGCCCAGACUCCGACGGGAGGCAGCAGUGGGGAAUAUUGGACAAUGGGCGGAAGCCUGAUCCAGCCAUGCCGCGUGUGUGAAGAAGGCCUUUUGGUUGUAAAGCACUUUAAGCGAGGAGGAGGCUACUAGUACUAAUACUACUGGAUAGUGGACGUUACUCGCAGAAUAAGCACCGGCUAACUCUGUGCCAGCCGCCGCGGUAAGAC